GGGGAAUAUUGCACAAUGGGCGCAAGCCUGAUGCAGCCAUGCCGCGUGUGUGAAGAAGGCCUUCGGGUUGUAAAGCACUUUCAGCGGGGAGGAGGGCGGUGAGGUUAAUAACCUCACCGAUUGACGUUACCCGCAGAAGAAGCACCGGCUAACUCCGUGCCAGCAGCCGCGGUAAUACGGAGGGUGCAAGCGUUAAUCGGAAUUACUGGGCGUAAAGCGCACGCAGGCGGUCUGUCAAGUCGGAUGUGAAAUCCCCGGGCUCAACCUGGGAACUGCAUUCGAAACUGGCAGGCUAGAGUCUUGUAGAGGGGGGUAGAAUUCCAGGUGUAGCGGUGAAAUGCGUAGAGAUCUGGAGGAAUACCGGUGGCGAAGGCGGCCCCCUGGUCAAAGACUGACGCUGAGGCAUGAAAGCGUGGGGAGCAAAC
rnacentral:rRNA from 1 species